rnacentral:rRNA from 1 species
CUGGCGGCACGCCUAACACAUGCAAGUCGAACGAAGUAGCAAUACUUAGUGGCAGACGGGUGAGUAACAUGUAGGUAUCUGCCCUUUGGCCUGGAAUAACACGAGGAAACUUGUGCUAAUACCGGAUAAGUCUUUACGGAGAAAGCUUUAUGCACCAUUGGAUGAGCCUGCACUUGAUUAGUUUGUUGGUGGGGUAAUGGCCUACCAAGACUGUGAUCAAUAGCUGAUUUGAGAGGAUGAUCAGCCACAUUGGGACUGAGACACGGCCCAAACUCCUACGGGAGGCAGCAGUGGGGAAUCUUGCACAAUGGAGGAAACUCUGAUGCAGCGAUGCCGCGUGAGUGAAGAAGGCCUUUGGGUUGUAAAGCUCUUUCGUCGGGGAAGAAAAUGACUGUACCCGAAUAAGAAGGUCCGGCUAA